AAAGCCGGGGGGUUCUCCCACGCUUGGUUAUUUCUGCUCAAUGGUAAGCUAAAUAGCCGCAGUACCCUGACUGUGCAAAGGUAGCAUAAUCAUUUGGCUUAUAAUUGAAGUCUGGCAUGAAGGAAAUCAUGGGUAGCAACUGUCUUCUAUAAAUUGUUAGAAUUUACUAAAUAGGUGAAAAUUCCUACAAAUUAAUAAUAGACGAGAAGACCCUAGAAAUUUUAAUAUAAAAGUAUUUUAACUUACUAUUUUGUUGGGGCGACAGAAUAACAGUGAACUUAUUUUAAUAUAUUUGUACUAAUUUUUGAGUAAAGCUAAAUUACUCUAGGGAUAACAGCAUAAUUUUACUUAAAGUUUGUGACCUCGAUGUUGGACUAGGGUUUUUAAUAACCAGAAGUUAUUAAACUAGGCUCUGUUCGAGCUUCAUUCCU
rnacentral:rRNA from 1 species